UGUGCCAGAAGAAGGGGUAAUACGUAGGGUGCAAGCGUUAAUCGGAAUUACUGGGCGUAAAGCGUGCGCAGGCGGUUUGUUAAGACGGAUGUGAAAUCCCCGGGCUCAACCUGGGAACUGCAUUCGUGACUGGCAAGCUAGAGUAUGGCAGAGGGGGGUAGAAUUCCACGUGUAGCAGUGAAAUGCGUAGAGAUGUGGAGGAAUACCGAUGGCGAAGGCAGCCCCCUGGGCCAAUACUGACGCUCAUGCACGAAAGCGUGGGGAGCAAACAGGAUUAGAUACCCUGGUAGUCCACGCCCUAAACGAUGUCAACUAGUUGUUGGGGAUUCAUUUCCUUAGUAACGAAGCUAACGCGUGAAGUUGACCGCCUGGGGAGUACGGUCGCAAGAUUAAAACUCAAAUAAAUUGACGGGA
rnacentral:rRNA from 1 species